GAGAGAGCUGGGACAGAACAAGCGUUGGUUGUGAUGUGAGGGAGGUGCGCUCUAAGGGUGCAAGGACUGUGCUGGAUUUAAAGAGACGGGUUACUAGGCCUUCUAAUACAGGGAGGUUCAGAUAACACGGGGCGCGGCAGAGACGACACCCGACACCCUCACACACCUGAACCCCACCAUGAUGAGAGUGGCCGUGGUGGUGGUGGUGGUGGUGGUGAAGGUGGUGGUGAGUGAGGACAGCGCCGUCCCACUAUCACCAGCACCACCACCAUCACCUCCAGACUCAGAACCACUAACCGUCCCAGAAACUCAACACCCAGACAAGAUGAUAGUGAGGAGAGGCUGGGCUAUCCCACAGGACGCCCAGGACAUGACCCCUACUAUCCUUCGCAGCGCAUGUUCCUGCAAAUCGCGCUGCCUCGUGUACCCGCCCUGCGCCGCCUGGGCUGCAGUCCCACUCGGCGAGGACUCGGUCAACUGCACCACCACCACCGCCGCCCCGGACACGAUGACGCUGGAGAGCAACGCGGAGAGUCUGUACGGCUUCAAGAUUGGCAAACUUAACAGCCUCACUGGGGUUCUCGAGGACGCAGACGGCACAGUGUACAUCAAGCCACACAAGCAAAUACAAUUCCAAAUGGCUAAGGAUUACUGCGCCAAAAUUCCAGGGUUUAAUCUCAUCAUGCUGAAGACUGAACGCCACUUCUCCCUCCUGCCUUUCUUCAGCAGAAUCACCUCCCGUAAGUAUUAUUUCUCUCUCUCUCUCUCUCUCUCUC